GACGAACGCUGGCGGCGUGCCUAAUACACGCAAGUCGAGCGGAUUAGAUUGAAAGCUUGCUUUCAAUCUGGUUAGCGGCGGACGGGUGAGUAACACGUAGGUAACCUGCCCGACAGACCGGGAUAACAUUCGGAAACGAAUGCUAAUACCGGAUACGCGAUUUCCUCGCAUGGGGAGAUCGGGUAAGACGGAGCAAUCUGUCACUGUUGGAUGGACCUGCGGCGCAUUAGCUAGUUGGUGAGGUAACGGCUCACCAAGGCGACGAUGCGUAGCCGACCUGAGAGGGUGAUCGGCCACACUGGGACUGAGACACGGCCCAGACUCCUACGGGAGGCAGCAGUAGGGAAUCUUCCGCAAUGGGCGAAAGCCUGACGGAGCAACGCCGCGUGAGUGAUGAAGGUUUUCGGAUCGUAAAGCUCUGUUGCCAGGGAAGAACGCUGUGGAGAGUAACUGCUCUACAGGUGACGGUACCUGAGAAGAAAGCCCCGGCUAACUACGUGCCAGCCGCCGCGGUAAAAC
rnacentral:rRNA from 1 species